CUGCCUGUCUGACACAGACUCUCUACUUAGAGCGUUGGAGAGAGGACUGAGGCUCACACUAUCAGCACAGCUUCUCAAUGGGGGGAUGCAGCCAAGAGCAGACAGAGCAGUCAUUCCACAGGAGCCUUCAGCUGCAUGCGUGAGAAGGAGACGACAAGUGAGGAGGGUAAAUUAGCUCCCUGUCAUCACAGCAGAGGAGUUUUACUGAUGGAGAAGGGACACUGAAGGAAGGAAGGGGAGCUCUGCGCGAAUGUGGCUGAUACAGCAGUGACAUGAUCCGCCUCCCAUCCCUCAAAUCCCGGCCAGUUUCUGACACAGACCCCUGGGUAUUUUGUGCCUGGUGACUGUGUUUGCCAAGGAUUAAAAAAAAAAGAGGAACUAAGCAAAGGUCCAGUGGAGGAAAUUCUGAGGAAGAAAAGGACAGCUUUCAACCCACCUUUUUCCUUUCUUUUUUUCUUUCUUUCUUUCUUUUUUUUUUUUUUUUUUCAAUCUGGUUACUGGAAUUUCAAGGCAGAAACCUCUUGCUUUAAAGUAUGGAUGGAUUUAAGAAUGAGGAGUGAGUCUGCUGGGUGGGCAGGCGACCACUGAUUCUGACUGAACUCUUUUCUCUCUGAUCACUCUGCUCAGACCCGGCCUUACCAUGUCCUGGUUGUUGGCCAUGUGGAUUAGCCUGGGCUUCCUGCUGCUGUGCCAGGCGACACUCUACCAGACCAUCCAGCAGCACCACGUGGCCCGGCCCGGCCGCACCGACAUCCUCACCUUGGAGGGCGGUACGUGCGAGGUGAUCGCAGCUCACCGGUGCUGUAACAAGAAUCGCAUUGAGGAGCGCUCUCAGACAGUCAAGUGCUCCUGUUUACCGGGGAAAGUGGCCGGAACGACACGCAACAAACCCUCCUGUGUGGAUGCGUCCAUUGUAAUUGGGAAGUGGUGGUGUGAGAUGGAGCCGUGUUUGGAGGGGGAAGAGUGUAAGACUUUGCCCGACAACUCUGGAUGGAUGUGCUCCUCUGGGAACAAAAUCAAGACCACAAGGAACACCCAGCCAUACUCCCCUUUUUAGCUUCUGGAAGCAAAAUGCAGAGGAUGCGUCAACAGAAAUUGAGCUGCAUUCUUGCUUCUGUAAAGAUUCAUCCCAGGACCUAACAGCGAGCUCCCGUCGCAGGGCUGAGCCAGGCUCUUCCCCUCAUGUACCCUUUUUCUCUUCCCACCGAACGGACUAAAACUAUUACAUCCACGGCUACUGACUGGAUUACCUGGGACCACAGAAAGGAUAUCCACCCAGAUAAAACAGCUUUGCUCGCGUGGUGCCAAGGAUUUGAAACCAGACUAAUCCCCUGUUUGAUCAAUGAGCCCCAUGUUGGUGACUCUCCUCUUCCACACAGCUGUGGCCAGUUUCCGACCCACUCGCUAUGUUUUCCUCACUCUGUCUCCUCCUUCAAAAAUUGAAACAGCUUAGUGGGGGGGUGGGGCAUUUAGAGGUUGUUAAAACAUUAUUUGAACGCAUUCUUGCCGCCUGCCUGGAGCUCAUACAAACAUAAGAGAAUCGAGGACACAAGAGAGGGAAAUUACCUUGAUAUCCUUUAUUUUAUGUUGUGUUGGACUGGCUACCUGAGCCGGAUGGCUUUGCUGAGGCUUUACCGAGGUGAUUCGGCUGAAAAACACUGGAUUUCUAGUACCAGCAAACCACUGACAGCCUUUGAGUUUAUGGAGAAUCUUUGAGAGGCUUCUGGUUUCAACCUCAUGACCUCUUCGUCACCCUUCAAGACGGACAUUUUGACUUUUAUCGGUGGGCAUGUCCAGUGUAAAUCCAUGAGCACCUGUUUUCUUUGUAUGUAAGAUAAUUUGUGUAUAUGUACACAUACAGUAUAUAAAUACAUGACUGAUGAGAUGACAGAUCCAAGAAGCUGAAAAACACAUUCAGGACUGUUUGGAGCUCAAUCCCAACGGUGGAAUAUCGAUUCGCCCUUGAACAUAAUCCAGAGGAUGCUGUCCCAAUACAGUGUGUAUAUGACUGCUCCGCGGUGUAUCAGAUGAUUUAUGAAAAGAGGUUCUCCUUACUUUUGUCAAGCAGCAAUGUUGUUGGGUAAGCUAAAAAAAAAAAAAAAAAACGUGCAUAGUUUUCUGUUAAAACGAGGAAAACACUGUACAGAACUGCCUCUCAGAUGAAAGCUGCACUAGACAAAAAAAAAAAAAACAAAACAAAACCCUGAACUCGCCACUCAGAUGCAGUGCAGAUUUGGAGUAGGUGCAGAGAAGCUCCAGUCAUAAUCAGACGUCACCUGCGACUGAGGAGCGUUGUCAUGGGCGAGACUGUUUGUCACGAAGAGCCUCGUCUCGCACACCAGAGAGCGAGAUGAUUUAUUCCAGAUGACAGUGGUAAAGUCUUAGUCACAAUUGAGAAACAUAGUUAUCCCCCAGUAGAUAUAAGUACAUUACAGGACAGCCUUAUGAGAAAUAAAAAUGGUUUUCUAUACUGAUAUGCUGUCUCCCAUUCCUCCAUACGGUGACUGAUAUUUUGAAAAAUGUCCCUCUUAUGGCGAUCUGAUGCGCUGUAAUAUGUGGGUGGAAGAUCUUGUCAGAGUUCCAUUUAUAUUACAUGUUAACAUUGUGAGCAGAGUUUUUGCUUGAGUAAACAAGCAAUCAAAAAUGGCACAGGACGAGUAUGAAAAUGACUUACAGGCACACAAACAGACACACACACACACACAUGCAGGCAAACACAAACGAAUAUGUGAUGCUUCAUUUAUACAAUUCCCUUGGCGGCAGAGUGGAUUUAUCAAAACAGAGCAUUCAAUUCAUCCGUGCAAUUAGAAUAAAGAUUUCCAAUAUCGGGCCAGGCGAAAUUCCACAUGAUUUUCAAUAUCAACCUCCUCUCCCGGCUGAUAUUAGAUUCGUCUCUUGUCCCGGCGGACCAGGUAGUGUGCAUUUAUCAUUUAGGAAUUUGGCGAGUUCUGUGGCGCCGGGUUCCUCGCUGAGCAGUCACAGAAGGUAUGAAAAAGACAGACACAUCAAUCUCCCAGUGGUCUUGCCAGAAUUAUGAAGGAA